rnacentral:tRNA from 1 species
GGGUCGGUAGCUCAGCCUGGUAGAGCAAUGCACUUUUAAUGCAUUGGCCGCGAGUUCGAAUCUCGUCCGACCCG